AUUGAACGCUGGCGGCAGGCUUAACACAUGCAAGUCGAGCGAGUGGCGGACGGGUGAGUAAUGUCUGGGAAACUGCCUGAUGGAGGGGGAUAACUACUGGAAAAGGUAGCUAAUACCGCAUACCAUCGGAUGUGCCCAGCUGGGAUUAGCUAGUCGGUGGGGUAACGGCUCACCAAGGCGACGAUCCCUAGCUGGUCUGAGAGGCUGACCAGCCACACUGGAACUGAGACACGGUCCAGACUCCGACGGGAGGCAGCAGUGGGGAAUAUUGCACAAUGGGCGCAAGCCUGAUGCAGCCAUGCCGCGUGUGUGAAGAAGGCCUUCGGGUUGUAAAGCACUUUCAGCGAGGAGGCGUUACUCGCAGAAGAAGCACCGGCUAACUCCGUGCCAGCAGCCGCGGUAAUUC
rnacentral:rRNA from 1 species